AGUUCUUUAGCUCAGUGGUAGAGCACUACCCUCGUAAGGUAAUGGUACACAAUUCGAUCCUGUGAAGGAGCUA